GUCUAUUCACGUCUGGCUCCUACAGCCUUACCCGACCCCCUUGCUGUGCCCAGUUCCCUGUGGCAGAAGGGGAUCCCAACACACCCUGGAAAAUGUUCUCAUCUGUGCUCCAUUCCAGAUGAGGGUGCUGGGAAGGCUUCUCCAUCAGCUUGGAUGAAUAAAGAUUUGAAGCCCUUGGAGCCUCCUGCAGAUGUGUCUACAGGGAGGACUUCUCCAGCUCCUACCUUGGAUGUUGCACUCAAGCCCAUCUCCCAUCACAGGGGUACUCCAACAGGGAAAGUCCAAGGUACAACAGAUAAGAUAUCCAUGGAACCAUCCAAACAGAUGAGGCAAGAGCUGAAGGAACCCCUGCAGACAAGAGAAGGUGG